rfam:Phycisphaerae bacterium SM1_79 WOR1_30_36_13956, whole genome shotgun sequence.
AUAAUCCAGCCUGGCCAAAGGUUAGCCACCAGGCCAGAACGGAACUUAAUGUAUAUCGAGGUAACAAGAUAUGCAAUGCUUAAGGAAAGGCGAAUGGUCAGCCAUAAUGUAAGUGAAGGUGUUGAGCCCCGAAAUUUGUGUAUUGCACUGGGCCAAGGGUUACUCCAUUCGGAAGCCAGUAGCGCUGCACGCGAUAACGUUGAGUGUAUCAGCGACGUGUCGGGAUCGAAGUCCA